rnacentral:rRNA from 1 species
UACGUAGGUGGCAAGCGUUGUCCGGAAUUACUGGGUGUAAAGGGAGCGUAGGCGGGAACGCAAGUUGAAUGUGAAAUUUACGGGCUCAACUCGUAACUGCGUUCAAAACUGUGUUUCUUGAGUUAAGUAGAGGCAGGCGGAAUUCCCUGUGUAGCGGUGAAAUGCGCAGAUAUAGGGAGGAACACCAGUGGCGAAGGCGGCCUGCUGGGCCUUUUACUGACGCUGAGGCUCGAAAGCGUGGGUAGCAAACAGG